AUUGAACGCUGGCGGCAGGCCUAACACAUGCAAGUCGAACGAGUGGCGGACGGGUGAGUAAUGUAUGGGAAACUGCCUGAUGGAGGGGGAUAAAUACUGGAAACGGUAGCUAAUACCGCAUACCAUCGGAUGUGCCCAGAUGGGAUUAGCUAGUAGGUGGGGUAACGGCUCACCUAGGCGACGAUCCCUAGCUGGUCUGAGAGGGUGACCGGCCACACGGGAACUGAGACACGGUCCAGACUCUUACGGGAGGCAGCAGUGGGGAAUAUUGCCCAAUGGGCGCAAGCGUGAUGCAGCCAUGCCGCGUGUAUGAAGAAGGCCUUCGGGUUGUAAAGUACUUUCAGCUGGGAGGCGUUACCCGCAGAAGAAGCACCGGCUAACUCCGUGCCAGCAGCCGCGGUAAUAC
rnacentral:rRNA from 1 species